GCAGUCGAGCGGACAGAAGGGAGCUUGCUCCCGGAUGUUAGCGGCGGACGGGUGAGUAACACGUGGGUAACCUGCCUGUAAGACUGGGAUAACUCCGGGAAACCGGAGCUAAUACCGGAUAGUUCCUUGAACCGCAUGGUUCAAGGAUGAAAGACGGUUUCGGCUGUCACUUACAGAUGGACCCGCGGCGCAUUAGCUAGUUGGUGAGGUAACGGCUCACCAAGGCGACGAUGCGUAGCCGACCUGAGAGGGUGAUCGGCCACACUGGGACUGAGACACGGCCCAGACUCCUACGGGAGGCAGCAGUAGGGAAUCUUCCGCAAUGGACGAAAGUCUGACGGAGCAACGCCGCGUGAGUGAUGAAGGUUUUCGGAUCGUAAAGCUCUGUUGUUAGGGAAGAACAAGUGCAAGAGUAACUGCUUGCACCUUGACGGUACCUAACCAGAAAGCCACGGCUAACUACGUGCCAGCAGCCGCGGUAAUACGUAGGUGGCAAGCGUUGUCCGGAAUUAUUGGGCGUAAAGGGCUCGCAGGCGGUUUCUUAAGUCUGAUGUGAAAGCCCCCGGCUCAACCGGGGAGGGUCAUUGGAAACUGGGAAACUUGAGUGCAGAAGAGGAGAGUGGAAUUCCACGUGUAGCGGUGAAAUGCGUAGAGAUGUGGAGGAACACCAGUGGCGAAGGCGACUCUCUGGUCUGUAACUGACGCUGAGGAGCGAAAGCGUGGGGAGCGAACAGGAUUAGAUACCCUGGUAGUCCACGCCGUAAACGAUGAGUGCUAAGUGUUAGGGGGUUUCCGCCCCUUAGUGCUGCAGCUAACGCAUUAAGCACUCCGCCUGGGGAGUACGGUCGCAAGACUGAAACUCAAAGGAAUUGACGGGGGCCCGCACAAGCGGUGGAGCAUGUGGUUUAAUUC
rnacentral:rRNA from 1 species